rnacentral:rRNA from 1 species
AAACCAACAGGGAUUGCCCCAGUAGCGGCGAGUGAAGCGGCAAAAGCUCAGAUUUGGAAUCGCUUCGGCGAGUUGUGAAUUGCAGGUUGGCGCCUCUGCGGCGGCGGCGGUCCAAGUCCCUUGGAACAGGGCGCCAUUGAGGGUGAGAGCCCCGUGGGACCGUUUGCCUACGCUCUGAGGCCCUUCUGACGAGUCGAGUUGUUUGGGAAUGCAGCUCUAAGCGGGUGGUAAAUUCCAUCUAAGGCUAAAUACUGGCGAGAGACCGAUAGCGAACAAGUACUGUGAAGGAAAGAUGAAAAGCACUUUGAAAAGAGAGUGAAACAGCACGUGAAAUUGUUGAAAGGGAAGGGUAUUGCGCCCGACAUGGAGCGUGCGCACCGCUGCCCCUCGUGGGCGGCGCUCUGGGCGUGCUCUGGGCCAGCAUCGGUUUUUGCCGCGGGAGAAGGGCGGCGGGCAUGUAGCUCUUCGGAGUGUUAUAGCCUGCCGCCGGCGCCGCGAGC